rnacentral:rRNA from 1 species
UACGGAGGGUGCAAGCGUUGUUCGGAAUUACUGGGCGUAAAGAGCGUGUAGGCGGCUGACCAAGUCCGGUGUGAAAGCCCGGGGCUUACCCCCGGAAGUGCGCUGGAAACUGGUCGACUAGAGUAUGGGAGAGGGAAGUGGAAUUCCUGGUGUAGCGGUGAAAUGCGUAGAUAUCAGGAGGAACACCGGCGGCGAAGGCGGCUUCCUGGACCAAUACUGACGCUGAGACGCGAAAGCGUGGGGAGCAUGCACG